UACGUAGGGUGCGAGCGUUAAUCGGAAUUACUGGGCGUAAAGCGUGCGUAGGCGGCUUUGCAAGCCAGAUGUGAAAUCCCCGGGCUUAACCUGGGAAUGGCAUUUGGGACUGCAAGGCUCGAGUGCGGCAGAGGAGACUGGAAUUCCCGGUGUAGCGGUGGAAUGCGUAGAGAUCGGGAAGAACAUCAGUGGCGAAGGCGGUCUGCUGGGCCGUUGCUGACGCUGAGGCGCGACAGCGUGGGGAGCAAACAGG
rnacentral:rRNA from 1 species